rnacentral:lncRNA from 1 species
GAGAACCCCAGUUUUGUUCCAAUAAGAGGCAGAAACCUCUUGGUCUCAGGAAAGAUAGACUCCAUCCCCCAGCCUUGUGAUGAAUUCUAUUUGGGUUGAGACAGUCACAGUAAAUCCAUCCCCUUUGCCUGAUUUCCACUUUCCCAGCUUCCUUCACCACAAGCAAUGCCAUGAGACACUCUUCUGGUCAAUGAGAUUUGAGAAGCCAGGUGGGAGCUCUGGCUGCUACACCACUGCUUACUUGCCUCUCUGCACAGGGUGCUGGAAUGUGGACAUGAUGCCUGGAGCUGCAGCAGCCUUGUUGGGUCAAUAAGACAUCAAGUAGGAGAAACAAAAGCCAACACUGCUAGUAAUAUUCUAUUUCCUGAUUGUUACAUUUGUAACAUGUAACACACAACAUUUUGUGAGAAUUCAAGGAGCUGUGCAUUUUUCUGUUAGUGUGUUAUACCUCACCAAAACAGUUAGGUAAAAAUCUAACACCCUGA